AGUGAACGCUGGCGGUAGGCCUAACACAUGCAAGUCGAACGGCAGCACAGUAAGAGCUUGCUCUUACGGGUGGCGAGUGGCGGACGGGUGAGGAAUACAUCGGAAUCUACUUUUUCGUGGGGGAUAACGUAGGGAAACUUACGCUAAUACCGCAUACGACCUACGGGUGAAAGCGGGGGAUCUUCGGACCUUGCGCGAUUGAAUGAGCCGAUGUCGGAUUAGCUAGUUGGCGGGGUAAAGGCCCACCAAGGCGACGAUCCGUAGCUGGUCUGAGAGGAUGAUCGGCCCCACUGAAACUAGAACCCGGUCCAGACUCCAAGGGAGGCAGCAGUGGGGAAUAUUGGACAAUGGGCGCAAGCCUGAUCCAGCCAUACCGCGUGGGUGAAGAAGGCCUUCGGGUUGUAAAGCCCUUUUGUUGGGAAAGAAAAGCAGCAGGUUAAUACCCCGCUGUUCUGACGGUACCCAAAGAAUAAGCACCGGCUAACUUCGU
rnacentral:rRNA from 1 species